UACGAAGGGGGCUAGCGUUGCUCGGAAUUACUGGGCGUAAAGCGCACGUAGGCGGCUUUCUAAGUCGGGGGUGAAAUCCUGGAGCUCAACUCCAGAACUGCCUUCGAUACUGGAGAGUUUGAGUCCGGGAGAGGUGAGUGGAACUGCGAGUGUAGAGGUGAAAUUCGUAGAUAUUCGCAAGAACACCAGUGGCGAAGGCGGCUCACUGGCCCGGUACUGACGCUGAGGUGCGAAAGCGUGGGGAGCAAACAGG
rnacentral:rRNA from 1 species